CAGGAUAUACUAAGUGAGCUGAUUCGGGCAGAAACCAGGUUUCACACUCAGGCAAUCCUCAACGGGCAAGGGAGUUCAACCUCUGCUUUUACUGUUGGUCGGGCGACUAGUCGUGGAAUCGGCACCCGUCCCCAGUUCUACACGAAAUCGGCUACCCAACCAGCUGCCUCAAUUGGUUCUUCUCAACAUAUUAAUCCCAAAUCAACAACUACUUCUCUUGGUCCAAUUAAGUGAUCGUUUUGUCAAGAGUUUGGUCAUCCACAGUCUAUUUGCCAGAAACGUAACAUUUGCAACUACUGUAAGCGUACCGGUCACAUUAUCUCUGACUGUCGUGCUCCUGGUCAUCGCAGAAACUUUUCUCCUAGUUCUUGUGCUACUAGUUAUACUGCUCAAGAUUCUGCUUCAGUGAACAGCUCAGCUUCUUCCCUUAAUAAUGCCUAACUGGUUCAAGAAGAACUCACACGCGUUCUCCCUCAAGCAAUUACCUGGGCCUUCUCGACUAUAGGUCUUUCAGGUACAAGUUCUGCUCAACCUUGGUUUCUUAAUUCUUCGGCAUUCAAUCAUAUGACAAGUGAUGCCAAUUUGUUCCAAAGUUAUAAUUCUAUUACAAAUCGCUCUAUUGAGGUUGCUAGUGGUCAAAAGUUACCUGUUGUUGGCAUUGGGACUGUUGAAACAUCUACUCUCGCUUUGCCUGCUACUCUUCAUGUGCCCACACUUAUUCCGAAUUUAGUUUCUGUUGGUCAAUUAGUUGCAUUUGGCUUCAAUGUUGUUUUUGGUGCCUUUGGUUUUGUGGUUCAAGAUCCACAAACAAGGAAGGUACAGGGACAAGGGAGUAGACAUGGCCAAAUUUUUUACUUGGAAGCUUUGGAUAUGGGUCAUCAAUCUCGGUCAACCGGCGAUACAGAGUAUUCCACGAGAUCCGGAAGUUUUGAUAUUUCUUCUUCUUCUAGUUAUGCAGUUAAACUUAAUUCGGAACAGUUGUGGUACCUUCGGCAUAGUAGAUUGGGACAUCCUCAUUCAUGUCGAUUGUUAAGUAUGUUUCGCAAGAACUUAUUACUAGUUGAGAAUAAUAUGAGACAUUUUUCUAUUCCUCCAUGUGAGUCAUGUAUUCAGGCUAGAACGGUUGCCCUACCAUUCCAUUCUAGUACUACCGAGAUUUCAGACUCCUUCUCCG
rnacentral:lncRNA from 1 species